UAAAUUGAGAGUUUGAUCCUGGCUCAGGACGAACGCUGGCGGCGUGCCUAACACAUGCAAGUCGAGCGAUGAAGCCCUUCGGGGUGGAUUAGCGGCGGACGGGUGAGUAACACGUGGGUAACCUGCCUCAUAGAGGGGGAUAGCCUCCCGAAAGGGAGAUUAAUACCGCAUAACAUAUUUUGGUUGCAUGACCGAAAUAUCAAAGGAGUAAUCCGCUAUGAGAUGGACCCGCGGCGCAUUAGCUAGUUGGUGAGGUAAGGGCUCACCAAGGCGACGAUG
rnacentral:ncRNA from 1 species